rnacentral:rRNA from 1 species
AUUGAACGCUGGCGGCAGGCCUAACACAUGCAAGUCGAGCGGAAGAAGGGAGCUUGCUCCUGGAUUCAGCGGCGGACGGGUGAGUAAUGCCUAGGAAUCUGCCUGGUAGUGGGGGAUAACGUCCGGAAACGGGCGCUAAUACCGCAUACGUCCUGAGGGAGAAAGUGGGGGAUCUUCGGACCUCACGCUAUCAGAUGAGCCUAGGUCGGAUUAGCUAGUUGGUGGGGUAAAGGCCUACCAAGGCGACGAUCCGUAACUGGUCUGAGAGGAUGAUCAGUCACACUGGAACUGAGACACGGUCCAGACUCCUACGGGAGGCAGCAGUGGGGAAUAUUGGACAAUGGGCGAAAGCCUGAUCCAGCCAUGCCGCGUGUGUGAAGAAGGUCUUCGGAUUGUAAAGCACUUUAAGUUGGGAGGAAGGGCAGUAAGUUAAUACCUUGCUGUUUUGACGUUACCAACAGAGUAAGCACCGGCUAACUUCGUG